rnacentral:rRNA from 1 species
AUCUUCAUAGAAGGUCCAGCCUGCCCAGUGACUUUUGUUCAACGGCCGCGGUAUCCUAACCGUGCGAAGGUAGCGUAAUCACUUGUUUUUUAAAUAAAGACUAGUAUGAAAGGCAUCACGAGGAUUAAACUGUCUCCUUUUUUUGAUCAGUGAAACUAAUCUUCCCGUGAAGAAGCGGGAAUAUUCCAAUAAGACGAAAAGACCCUAUGGAGCUUUAAACAUUAUAGCACUUGUCGAUUCACCUCCACCCUAACCACAGACACCUUGACUAUAAGUUUUCGGUUGGGGCGACCACGGAGCAAAAUAAACCCUCCAAGUUGAUUAUACCCCUAAGCCCAGAGCCACAGCUCCAAGCAUUAACAAAUUAACAUCAAUUGACCCAGUAAUCUGACCAACGAACCAAGUUACCCUAGGGAUAACAGCGCAAUCCACUUCAAGAGUCCUUAUCGACAAGUGGGUUUACGACCUCGAUGUUGGAUCAGGGUUUCCUAGUGGUGUAGCCGCUACUUUAGGUUCGUUUGUUCAACGAUUAAACCCUAC